CCCGAUGGAGUUCUCUCGGCUGAAAUUGGCUUUAGCAAACCUGCUACCCACUGAUGCUUCGGAGCUUUUCAAGUAUCAGAUACUUGUAGAUCAUGUGAAACUUGAAGAAGCCUGUCUUAUCGCUGACUCCUUUAUCAACUCACCCCAGCCGUACACUGACACUAUGGCAGCCUUGACUGAAAAGUUUGGCCAGUCGCAUCAUGUCGCCUUGAAGAGGAUCGCUGCGGUGAUUGAUUCCCCUGAGAUUAGAAGAGGGGACAUAGCUGCCUUUGAGAGAUUCUCCCUGCACAUACAGUCACUUGUGGGCAUGCUACAGACACUGGGGCCAGACGGAGAAGUCGAGCUGAGAUGCGGCUCACAUGUGGCCCGACUCCUUACCAAGCUUCCGAUGGAGAUGAGAGCUAACUUCCGACGUCAGAUGUUCCAUCGUCCUGGACAUACUCAUACACUGCUUGACCUGGCAGAAUGGCUUCGAUAUGAGUCAUGGUGCCAAGGUUAUGACAACCCUACGGACACUCGUGCCCAAGGGUUACCAGGCUACCGAGCUGAGAAACGUCGCAGCAGACCACCAGCUACGGUACUCCAUGGAGCAGAGAUCCAUACGCUGAACCCAGUAUCCCGGCAAGAGGGUCAAAGCUCGUCUGUGCAGAGGUGGAAAGGCAAAGCAAAACCCUACUGUCCAUAUUGUGAGGGCACACAGCACUUCCUAAAUAAGUGUCCAAAUUUCCAGAAACUCAAUAAAGAGGAGAUCAUAGAGUGGAUCAGGGUUAAUAGGAGAUGCGGGAGAGCAUAUCAGGUGGCACAAUGUGACCUUAAGAAGCUCUGCGAUGUGUGUCAGGGGAAGCAUUUGAGAGUUCUUCACGAUGCCAACUCCCGCCCCCCGGCUGAGCAGCCGAAGUCUGAAAGUUGCCUGGUGAGCACCAGUACAGAAGUCCUCUAUCUUGACAGACCAUCGGACCACACUCGUGUUCUGCUGAAAGUCGUCAGAGUUCUACUGCGUAACAGAGACCGGACACUAGACACUUAUGCAAUACUGGAUGAUGGUUCAGAGCGCACAAUGCUCGUCCCUGAAGCUGUUGACAAACUGGGCCUGCAUAAGAAGCCAGAGGACCUUGCUCUGCGGACCAUUCGACAGGAAGUCCAAAUCCUGAAGGGAUCAGUAGUCUCAUUCAACAUCUCCUCCCCUAUGAAUCCCAAGAAAACCUUUUGGGUAGUGGAGGCUUUCACCUCACAACUCUUGGGCUUGGCAGACCACAUUUACCCAAUCGCCAGUUUGAAGAGGAAGUACAAACACCUGGCAGAUCUUCCUCUUGAGACAUUUGAACAUGUCAAACCGCUUGUGCUGAUUGGAGUGGACUACCCUCAUCUACUUACUCCGAUCGAACCGGUGAGACUGGUCCCUCCUGGAGGACCGGCAGCCAUCCACACAAGUCUGGGAUGGACACUUCAAGGACCUGCACACCUUACCCAGUGGGCUCCGAGUGCCCAGCAGUGUCUCUUCACUAGUAUCUCACCCCAGAUGACGGAGCUGAUGCAGAAUGUCGAGAAGCUCUGGAAGAUGGACAUACUGCCAUACCAGACCGACAAGUCGGUUAUGAGAUCGAAGCAGGAUAAGGAAGCGCUGGAGCUUCUGGAGGCCAAGGCGAGGCGUGUACAGGUUGCAGGCAUCCUCAGAUAUAAGAGACAGAUCAGACAAUCCUUUGGAGUGACUCUACAACAGUGUUGACCUGGUUGCAGUCAGAAUCAUGCCGCUUUAAAGUCUUUGUGGGUACUCGUGUAGCCGAGAUCCAAGAGCUUACAGGAUGAUGUACCUGGCGCUACGUUGACUCCACACAGAACCCGGCAGAUGAUUUGACGAGAGGGAAGACCUUGGCAGAGUUGGCCGAGCCGAACCGUUGGAGCCAAGGGCCUUCCUUCCUCCUCAAGGGACCUGCUGAAUGGCCAUCCUUACCUGGAGAGGUAACAGAACAGGAUGUCACAG
rnacentral:lncRNA from 1 species